rnacentral:lncRNA from 1 species
AAAAAAGGCCCAAAAUCUGAAAAAACAUAGCCGAGAAGAUCAGUAGACGAGACCCCCUCCCUGAUUUCUGAGCUCCCACUAACCACCCCACCUCCAAACGAUCCUUCAACUCUUCCCUUACCAAACAGCGGCGAACUCGCCGGAGCAGCCAGCUUCAACCCCAAAAAUCCCAAGAUCCAUGAACACCCCUAGAGCACUAAGCUUCAGCAACACCAACCAGUGACCAUCUCGAACCAGUAGCAACCACUGGCACCAGUGAAAUCCGGCAAGCACCACUGCGUCACUAGAAUCCGCCUGAAAACACGCACCCAAACACUGAAUUUUUCGGCUCAAGUUCUUUUGUUUCCUUUAACAAUUUGUGAAAGAAAUUUCUUAUAAAUUAUUGGGGGAGUUUGUUCGAGUUUGCAACUUGGCCGUUGUUGAAAUUUGUCGCAGUUCCGGCGAACGGGCGCAGUUCCGAUUGUUGACAUUCUGUUGAUUGCGAAAAUCAGAUCCGAUUUGUUAGUAAAAUCAUUGAGGUCUGUUUCAUUUGAUUUUUAGUUAAUUCAUGAAUCUUAGGACUUAUUUUUGGAGGAAUAAAUUUGAGUUUGAAUGAUUGGUAUUUUGAGUGUUCUUUAUCUGGUAUCAUAAAGAUUGAUUUGAGUAGAUAAUUUGGUUUAAUAGUGAUUAUUCUCUGUUAAAUGGUUUUGGGUUAUUGUUCGGUUAUUAUUGGCUACAAGCAAUUUGUUUGUGAUGAUGUGCAUUUUUUGGGGGACUAUGUUCCUUGAGUUGCGUAUUGUUCUUACUGUUAUUGACUGCUACUUUAUAUUCUUGCAUUGAAGGUUUAAUUCAUUUUUUAUUUUUAGUUGCUGGAAUAGUUUUCAAGUACCCUUGUACUUAAGUUUUCAAGUGGGAUGGCCAUUGUAAAUGUUUCUCCGGCGAAAGAAUGAAAAAGGUUUGUUUUACCGUUAGUUAGUCUGAGAAUUGUCAAACUAGUAUAUAUCAUUGUGGUGAACUUCUUAAUGCCUAGUUUUAGUUACACUGCUUUUUGUUUUCUUUCCCUUUUUACAUUUGCUCAUUGUUGGUAAACUGCCUGAUGUCUUGGUUGUUAUCUUUUCCCUUUACA